UACGUAGGGUGCAAGCGUUAAUCGGAAUUACUGGGCGUAAAGCGUGCGCAGGCGGUUAUGUAAGACAGUUGUGAAAUCCCCCGGGCUCAACCUGGGAAUUGCAUCUGUGACUGCAUAGCUAGAGUACGGUAGAGGGGGAUGGAAUUCCGCGUGUAGCAGUGAAAUGCGUAGAUAUGUGGGAGGAACACCCGGAUGGCGAAGGCAGCCCCCCUGGGUCAAGAUUGACGCUCAUGCACGAAAGCGUGGGGAGCAACAGG
rnacentral:rRNA from 1 species